AACGAACGCUGGCGGCAUGCCUAGCACAUGCAAGUCGAACGAGACCUUCGGGUCUAGUGGCGCACGGGUGCGUAACGCGUGGGAACCUGCCCUUAGGUUCGGAAUAACUCCCCGAAAGGGGUGCUAAUACCGGAUAAUGUCUUCGGACCAAAGAUUUAUCGCCUUUGGAUGAGCCCGCGUUGGAUUAGCUAGUUGGUAGGGUAAAAGCCUACCAAGGCGACGAUCCAUAGCUGGUCUGAGAGGAUGAUCAGCCACACUGGGACUGAGACACGGCCCAGACUCCUACGGGAGGCAGCAGUGGGGAAUAUUGGACAAUGGGCGAAAGCCUGAUCCAGCAAUGCCGCGUGAGUGAUGAAGGCCUUAGGGUUGUAAAGCUCUUUUACCCGGGAUGAUAAUGACAGUACCGGGAGAAUAAGCUCCGGCUAACUCCGUG
rnacentral:rRNA from 1 species